rnacentral:rRNA from 1 species
UACGUAGGGUGCAAGCGUUGUCCGGAAUUAUUGGGCGUAAAGAGCGUGUAGGCGGUCUGGCAAGUCCGCUGUGAAAACUCGAGGCUUAACCUCGAGACGUCGGUGGAAACUGCCUGGCUAGAGUCCGGAAGAGGAGAGUGGAAUUCCUGGUGUAGCGGUGAAAUGCGCAGAUAUCAGGAAGAACACCCGUGGCUAAGGCGGCUCUCUAGUACGGUACUGACGCUGAGACGCGAAAGCGUGGGGAGCGAACAGG